AUCCAGCUGAUGAGUUCUAAAUAGGAUGAAACGCGCUUCCUGCAC
rnacentral:hammerhead_ribozyme from 1 species